UCUCUGUUCCGCAAGUUCCAGUUUCGCCUCCCAUUAAACUUCUCUGAUUCUGUAAUCCAUUUUCUUUCUCUUAAUUCAUUUAUUGCAAAGAAGCAAGUUAUCGUAUGGUGUUUGAAUUGAAUCUUGGUUUUGUAUGGGAACCUCCAUGGGAUUCAUUCACCAAUGACCUUUCUCAGAGCAUGAUGGUAUUUACUCUCACAAAGACACGGUCCGUAAGCUGUGUGGCACUGAAUUGAAGAACUUAUUGGAAUUGGAAGGUCUACGUUGAAAACGUUUCAGCAUUGCAGUUUCAGAUGUGUGCCUUUGAGUUUUCCACAAACAAAUUCACCAUGAACAUGUACAGAUAUUCAAGUGGUAUCGAAUUGCUUGUUCAACUUAUAGUAUCCAAUUUCUUGAACGACCUGCAACUGUCAGUGUAGGAAUUGGAAAAUCCCUUACGAUGAUCUUCUGGCUGUUAAGAAGAUGAAGGAAACAAUUGCAAAUCCUCAACUCACCAUCUCAAUAUGCAUACCAAGAUAAUUCAGUUGGUGAGUUGAGGAUUUGCAGCUGUUUCCUUAAUCAAGCACAUUCUUAAUUUGCAUCCCACCAAGAUAAAAGAAACUAGACUUUUUAACAAGAAACAAGCACAUUACUCCUUUGUUCAUCUUAGAAUCAAGCAUACUCUUUUCUACAAUAAGAAACUUCUAUGUCUCAGUAGGAGAUUUUCACCACCACGGCACCACCACCACAAGGAAAUUUAAUUGCACUAAAUGCAGUAUCCAUAACAAUCCGACUGCGGGGGAGCUGCCUGGAAAGCCGGAGGAAAGUCAAGUUCCUUUGUUGUUCUGAUCAGCAACUACUGACUUGUGUGACUGUUAAGAAUAUCAGGAAGGAAUUUGGUUGCCUGCUACGGGUUGACAGUGAAAAAUGGAAGGAAAGUGUUGUGUAAGAUUUUACAUUUUAGUAAUUCAAGAAUUGAUUUGUUGAACUAACGAACAAAUGUGGAUUUUACUUUUA